rnacentral:rRNA from 1 species
GAUGAACGCUAGCGGGAGGCCUAACACAUGCAAGCCGAGCGGUAGAGAUUCUUCGGAAUCUUGAGAGCGGCGUACGGGUGCGGAACACGUGUGCAACCUACCUUUAUCUGGAGGAUAGCCUUUCGAAAGGAAGAUUAAUACUCCAUAAUAUAUUGAUUGGCAUCGAUUGAUAUUGAAAGCUCCGGCGGAUGGAGAUGGGCACGCGCAAGAUUAGCUAGUUGGUGAGGUAACGGCUCACCAAGGCGAUGAUCUUUAGGGGCCUGAGAGGGUGAUCCCCCACACUGGUACUGAGACACGGACCAGACUCCUACGGGAGGCAGCAGUGAGGAAUAUUGGUCAAUGGGUGCAAGCCUGAACCAGCCAUCCCGCGUGAAGGACGACUGCCCUAUGGGUUUGUAAACUUCUUUUGUAUAGGGAUAAACCUACCCUCGUGAGGGUAGCUGAAGGUACUAUACGAAUAAGCACCGGCUAACUCCGUGCCAGCAGCC